UUAUUCUCCGUCCGUCGCUGCCCAAUCGGCGACCGGGCUUGGCGGCCCGCCCA
rnacentral:ncRNA from 1 species